UACAGAGGCCACGAGCGUUAGGCGGAAUCACUGGGCUUAAAGCGUGUGUAGGUGGAUGGGUAAGUACCUUGUGAAAUCCCACGGCUCAACCGUGGAACUGCUUGGUAUACUGCCUGUCUUGCGGCACUCAGGGGCGAGCGGAACAAAUGGUGGAGCGGUGAAAUGCGUAGAUAUCAUUUGGAACGCCAAUGGUGAAGACAGCUCGCUGGGGGUGUACUGACACUGAGACACGAAAGCCAGGGGAGCAAACGGG
rnacentral:rRNA from 1 species